CUGGAUAAGGGAUUCCACCAGGAGGCAGCUCUUUGAACCCUUUGCAGUCAAUGCUUUCCAUUUUCUGCAGGCUGAUCCAGCCACUAGAGUAACAAAUAUAGCUAGAAAGAGGGCCUACUUAUGCAGGAAAGCUCCUGAAGUGGCCUUUGACUUUGCUUCUGGCUUACCUCCUAGGAUGCUGAAUGAUGCUAGGGCACAAGUUGUGUCGGCAUUAAACAGUUCUCUCUUCAGGACUGAAGGCCAGAAAGCUGUGUUUGAAGCCAAAGGAAUGGUGGAAUUAAACUUUGAUGGUUAAUGGCUAA
rnacentral:misc_RNA from 1 species